UAACGCGUGGGUUAACCUUACCUCCGGGCGGGGGAUAACCNCUCNAAAGGGUGGCUAAUACCGCAAGAGACCACGGGGUCCUCGGACCCUGGGGCCAAAGGUGGCACCGGCUUGCCGGUGCUGUCACCUGGAGACGGGCCCGCGUACGAUUAGCUAGUUGGUAGGGUAACGGCCUACCAAGGCUGCGAUCGUUAGCUGGUCUGAGAGGAUGACCAGCCACACUGGAACUGGAACACGGUCCAGACUCCUACGGGAGGCAGCNGUGAGGAAUAUUGCGCAAUGGGGGAAACCCUGACGCAGCAACGCCGCGUGGGUGAAGAAGGCCUUCGGGUCGUAAAGCCCUUUCGGACGGGACGAAAGCUCCGCGGGGGAUAAUCCGCGGAGUCUGACGGUACCGUAUUGAAGAANCACCGGCUAACUCCGUUGCCA
rnacentral:rRNA from 1 species